CUAGAUCCUUGCAAACAUAACCCGUGCCGCGUCCGCUUGAAGGAGGGGGAUAGCUGCGGGUGGGGGUUCUCUAAACUCAGUCCAUGCGUUUGUGCCUGCUGCACCUGCCUUUGCUAGAAGAUCUGCAACGGCGUUGGCUUCUCUCUUAGUAUGCUUGAAGUCAAUGCUCCAGUUCCUCUUCACCAGGUCUCUGAUGUUGGUUAAAAUUGAUGCAUAGUGAUGCCAGGAGUUUACAUCUCUUCCAAUAAGUUGAAUAGAGAGAGUUGAAUCAGAAUAGCAAACUAUAUUUCUGUAUCCUUGGUCCCAAGCCACCUUCAAGCCAUGAUAAAUAGCAAG
rnacentral:lncRNA from 1 species